AGCGAACGCUGGCGGCAGGCUUAACACAUGCAAGUCGAACGCCCCGCAAGGGGAGCGGCAGACGGGUGAGUAACACGUGGGAACGUACCCUUUGGUUCGGAAUAACUUGGGAAACUCAAGCUAAUACCGGAUAAGCCCUUAUGGGGAAAGGUUUACUGCCGAAGGAUCGGCCCGCGUCUGAUUAGCUAGUUGGUGAGGUAAUGGCUCACCAAGGCGACGAUCAGUAGCUGGUCUGAGAGGAUGAUCAGCCACACGGGGACUGAGACACGGCCCAGACUCCUACGGGAGGCAGCAGUGGGGAAUAUUGGACAAUGGGGGCAACCUUGAUCCAGCCAUGCCGCGUGAGUGAUGAAGGCCUUAGGGUUGUAAAGCUCUUUUACCCGGGACGAUAAUGACUGUACCGGGAGAAUAAGCCCCGGCUAACUUCGUGCCAGCAGCCGCAGUAA
rnacentral:rRNA from 1 species